rnacentral:sRNA from 1 species
GUACGCCGUGGGCCUGGGCAACGUGUGGCGCUUCCCCUACCUGUGCCAGAUGUACGGCGGAGCCAUGUAAGACGUGCCUGCUUCCCCUUCACCUUCUUCCAUAAUUGUAAGUUUCCUGAGGCCUCCCCAGCCAUGCUUCCUGUACAGCCUGUGGAACUGUUGACUGGGUUUGACUCCAAAUGGAAAACUUUUGGGGGAAGACCAAGAUGGGGGCAAGUGAAUGAGGAGAAGGAGGGUGCUGGGGUGGAGAGUCUCACAGAAUAGAGCAGUGGUUCCCAAAGUGGAACCCCCAGGCCAGCAGCUUCAGCACCCCCUGGGGGCUUGUGCUCAGUGUUUCUUACAUUAAACAUGUGUAUAUGCACACACAUACAC